rnacentral:rRNA from 1 species
UACGUAGGGUGCGAGCGUUAAUCGGAAUUACUGGGCGUAAAGCGUGCGCAGGCGGUGAUGUAAGACAGUUGUGAAAUCCCCGGGCCUAACCUGGGAACUGCAUUUGUGACUGCAUCGCUGGAGUACGGCAGAGGGGGAUGGAAUUCCGCGUGUAGCAGUGAAAUGCGUAGAUAUGCGGAGGAACACCGAUGGCGAAGGCAAUCCCCUGGGCCUGUACUGACGCUCAUGCACGAAAGCGUGGGGAGCAAACAGG